GGUCAUAUCACGUUGAAACACCGUUUCUCGUACGAUCACCGAAGUUAAGCAACGUCGAGCCUGGUCAGUACCUAGAUGGGUGACCGCUUGGGAAUACCAGGUGCUGUAA